AGUGAACGCUGGCGGUAGGCCUAACACAUGCAAGUCGAACGGCAGCACAGUAAGAGCUUGCUCUUACGGGUGGCGAGUGGCGGACGGGUGAGGAAUACAUCGGAAUCUACUUUUUCGUGGGGGAUAACGUAGGGAAACUUACGCUAAUACCGCAUACGACCUACGGGUGAAAGCAGGGGAUCUUCGGACCUUGCGCGAUUGAAUGAGCCGAUGUCGGAUUAGCUAGUUGGCGGGGUAAAGGCCAACCAAGGCGACGAUCCGUAGCUGGUCUGAGAGGAUGAUCACCCAAGCUGGAACGGGGACACGGUCCAGACUCCUGCGGGAGGGAGCAGUGGGGAAUAUUGGACAAUGGGAGCAAGCCUGAUCCAGCCAUACCGCGUGGGUGAAGAAGGCCUUCGGGUUGUAAAGCCCUUUUGUUGGGAAAGAAAAGCAGCAGGUUAAUACCCCGCUGUUCUGACGGUACCCAAAGAAUAAGCACCGGCUAACUUCGUG
rnacentral:rRNA from 1 species